GCGCCCCUCCUUUCCUCCCCUCCUCUUCUCCCUGGCGCGCGCAGGCUCUGGAGCCGACAUGGGCGCCGCCGCGCGGGCGCUGCGGCCUCUGGCACUGCGUGCGUCUGUGCUGCUACUGCUUCUGCCUCUCCCCGGGCUGCCCACGGGCUCCUGGGACCCGGCCGGUUACCUGCUCUACUGCCCCUGCAUGGGGCGCUUUGGGAACCAGGCUGAUCACUUCUUGGGCUCCCUGGCAUUUGCAAAGUUGUUGAACCGCACCUUGGCUGUACCUCCGUGGAUUGAGUACCAGCAUCACAAACCUCCCUUCACCAAUCUCCAUGUGUCCUACCAGAAGUACUUCAAGCUGGAGCCCCUCCAGGCUUACCAUCGGGUCAUCAGCCUGGAGGACUUCAUGGAGAAGCUGGCUCCCACCCACUGGCCCCCCGAGAAGCGGGUGGCAUACUGCUUUGAGGUGGCAGCACAGCGAAGCCCUGAUAAGAAGACAUGCCCCAUGAAGGAAGGAAACCCCUUUGGCCCAUUCUGGGAUCAGUUUCAUGUGAGUUUCAAUAAGUCGGAACUUUUUACAGGCAUUUCCUUCAGCGCUUCCUACAAAGAACAAUGGAUUCAGAGAUUUUCAGCAAAGGAACAUCCUGUGCUCGCCCUGCCAGGGGCCCCAGCCCAGUUCCCUGUCCUGGAGGAACACAGGUCACUCCAGAAGUACGUGGUGUGGUCAGAUGAGAUGGUGAAGAUGGGAGAGGCCCAGAUCCGUGCCCACCUCAUCCGGCCCUAUGUGGGCAUUCAUCUGCGCAUUGGCUCUGACUGGAAGAACGCAUGCGCCAUGCUGAAGGACGGUACUGCAGGCUCGCACUUCAUGGCCUCUCCACAGUGUGUGGGCUACAGCCGCAGUACAGCGGCCCCCCUGACCAUGACCAUGUGCCUGCCAGACCUGAAGGAAAUCAGGCGGGCCGUGAAGCUCUGGGUGAGCGCGCUGAACGCCCGGUCAGUCUACAUUGCCACUGACUCUGAGAGUUAUGUGCCCGAGAUCCAGCAGCUUUUCAAAGAGAAGGUGAAGGUGGUGAGUCUGCAGCCUGAGGUGGCCCAGAUCGACCUGUACAUCCUCGGCAGAGCUGACCACUUUAUUGGCAACUGUGUCUCCUCCUUCACUGCCUUUGUGAAGCGGGAGCGAGACCUCCAGGGAAAGCAGUCGUCCUUCUUCGGCAUGGACAGGCCCCCUCAGCUGCGGGAUGAAUUCUGAUCCUGGCUGGAGAACGUCACCAGUCACAGCUGAUCCUUUCAGCCAGGCCUGGCAGCCAGAGGUGCUCUCAGGACUGCAAGCUCCUCUUCUUGCCUGCCAGAGCUGGAGAACCGUAUCAGGGAGGCAUCUCCCGCCUCUGUGUUUCCCCAUUCUCUGGGAAUUUCUCACAAAGGUGCUACUGCAGUGUCCAGAGCUUCCUUGGAGUGCUGCUGGAUAAGGCAAAUUCCAAGAGCCACCCUUGCCUGAAGAAUCCAAGUGACUGGUGGGUAGUGUCCAGGAAUCUGCAUUUUUUUUUUUUUUUUUUUUUUGGCAAGCACCUAUAGGUGGGUUUAAUGCCAGUGGCUCAGGGCCUCUUAAAUUGUGGUCAUAGGACCCGCAGGUGGCCUCACUUGGGGGAACUUGUUAGACAUGCUGAAUCCCGUGGGGCUAUAGGUUAGCCCAGUGACAGAGCUUCUGCCCAGUGUUCAUGAAGCUUUGAAUUUGAUUCCCAGAACCAUAAAAAGAAAGAAAAAUAAGACAUAUGGAAUCCCAGACCUGCUAAAGCAGUCUCCCAAGGAGGCAGGUCAGAAGCAACAUUGGUGGGUAGAGGAUCUCAGCUCCUCAGCCACCCGACAGUACAGAAGAACCCUAGCAUGCCCCCCAGGUCCCACCAAGUGCACCUUAAGGAGGUGACUUAAGAGUUGCGGGAACUGAAUCCACUAAUGUCUCUCCAUAUACAUGAGGGUGGAAAUAUGCAACUAGACCAAAUCUUUACAGAAGUAAACAAAGGCAAUUAAAAUUUUUUUUUUAAAGAGAGAGAAUUUUAAUAUUUAUUUUUUAGUUUUCGGCGGACACAACAUCUUUGUUUGUAUGUGGUGCUGGGGUUCGAACCCGGGCCGCACGCAUGCCAGGCGAGCGCGCUACCGCUUGAGCCACAUCCCCAGCCCCAAUUAAAAUUUUUAUAAGUAAGUACCAGUAGAGAUGGGUUAUGAUAAGGCAGAAAUGGAUAAGGCUGGGAAACAAUGUCCUGAAGCAUCAUAGCUGCUCUAGGGGGUAGGAGAGGAGAGAAAGGGCAGAGGGAGGAAGGAAGGAAGAAUGGAGCUCUCAUUUCCAUUUUCUGUUCACCUCAAAGAAGCUUGGUGCAGCCUGGCGGGCGCACACCGUAACCCCAGUGGCUCUGGAGGCCGGAGCAUGGCAAGUCUCGGCCAGUCUCAGCAACUCAGUGAGUCCCUAAGUGCUUAGCAAGACCCUGUUUGAAAAUAUAAAAAAGGACUCGGCAUGUGGCUCAGUGGCUAAGUGCCCUUGGGUUCAAGUCCCAACACCAAAAAAAAAAAAAAAGGCAGCUUAGUGCAUAAUAGUAGUAACAGCAAUAAUAAUAAGGUUUCACUCUCCGUCCUCUCCCCAGCUCGCUUUCUAUCCUUAGUGGAGUUGACAGAAAAAACUCCUUGCCUGAAGGCAAAUCCUGCGCUGGAUUAUGUUGUCAGAAUUAAUUCAGAUUCUCACUUGAAACCUGGUUUAUUCCAGGGUUGCGACCUUUCCCUGGAAAUGACACUAUUUAACUGGCAAGCAGGUUUGCUUUGUUUUUACAUCUAAUCCUUUAUUGAUCGCCAGCCCAGGAUGCCAAGUAAACAGUGAGGGGAAGACACAAAAGGCAUUUCCCAGAAACCUCCCUCCCACGGCGUGACUCAGCCUUGUGGAGGAACAAUACCCACCUGGGGUGGCAGCCUGGGGUGGACCUCAGCCUCGGAAAGUCUGCCUCUAAAUAAAACCGGCGCCACAUCAAGCCAUUGACAUUGAUUCUCUUGGAGUGUGGGGGCGUUUUCAAGUCAGAUGGUGUCCAAGAUGGUUCCGGAGGUACUGGGUACAAGAAGGAGAGAACUAGCUUUCCAGUGUUUUCCCAUCCUGCCAACAUUCCCAUAGAGAAAGUCCCAGUUCAGUGCCAGUGUCAUUAGCUCCUGUCUGUGCUCACUAGUACUUGGAGAGAGCAGAGAGCUCGGACUCAGAUGGCCUUAGCCAGCUACAAGUCACUAACAUUGUCUUUGUUAUAUUUAAUUUUUGCUACUUGGGAUUUUUCUGUUUUUUGUUUUUUUUUUUCCACUUACAGAUGUGGUUCAAAGUUGGCUUUUAAGAAAUUUAUUUCAUUUUAAAAAGUAUAACGGGCUCUGAGAAAAAUAUUACAUAAACCAUGGUUAUGAGGUUUGGGCAAGUAGCUCCGUGACAGUGGGCCACUUAGCAUGCACGAGGCCCUGGGUUCAGUCUUCACCAAAAAAAAAAAAAAAAAAAGUGUGGAAUGAAUGAAGAAGGUAAGAUUGGGAGAAGCUCGAUCAGCCACAUUUUUGUUUUGUUUUAUUUUAUUUAUUUUAUUUUAUUUUAUAGUGUUGGGGAUAAAACCCAGAGCUUUGCACAUACUAGACAAAUGCUGUACCAUUGAGCGCUACCAGCAACUCAUCCUUGUGCCCUAAAGACACCUCCCAGUAAGAGAUGGGAGAGGCACAUGGAAGUGACGAGGAGAGAGACUGCCGUCCACUCAAACUCUACUGGCUGCACACUGCCUGCGAUUGCCUAGACCAUCCCCUCUAACGUUUCCUAAUGCCAAGUCAGGUGGAGUGGCAUGUGCCUGUAGUCCCAGCAACUUGGGAGUCUGAAGCAGGGGAUCCCAAGUUUAAGGCCAGCCUAGGCAACUUACUGAGGCCCUGUCUCAAAAUAGUAAAGUUGGUUAUGUAACUCAAUGGUAGAACACCCCUGGGUUUUGUCCUGGGUUCCAUCUGAAGGACAAAAGAAAAAAUGUAAUCCUAUGAAAUUUUCCUCUCGGAGUUCCACAGCACCUUUAAAUUGUAAUAAUAACUGACAUAAUUAUUGUCAUUUAUCAUGUGCCAAACUGUGUCCUAAGCCCUCCGCAUAAACUAACUCAUCUGAUUCACAGAUGUUGCUUUUCUUAUUAUCUCCAUUUUACAGAUAAGGGCAUGGAGGCACAGAGAGGUAAAGCAACUAGCCUACAAUCACACAGCUUGAGUAGUAGACCCAGGACUCAAAACCUGCAAGCAUGACACAUAGUCAGUGCCCUUAGCCUCUGUACUGUGAUGCUUCUUAUGUCACUUAUCAGAAGACUAGGCUUGUUUUCCCAGCUGACCAGAGGUCCUCCCCAAGAACAGGACGGUGCCUGACGUGUCUCCCUGUAUCUGCUCUUCACCAGUGCUUGGCUUAUAAGUGUCCUGUACUUAAGUGUUGAAUGAAUAUGCAGAAAGUGACCUGAGCAGGUGAUCUGACUUCUGGCAUCUUGGCGAAGGUAGAGUUGAAUGGAUUGAUAGGCAUAUUUUAACAGCUGCACCUGGGGGAGGAGAAAAGGCAUUAGAGACUCAGAACCAAGGUGCAAAGAGCUGAGGUAUGGAGGCCCCGAGCAUGGACUUGGGGAGAUGGAGCCCCAAGAGGAAGGGACACAAGGAGAUCUGAGCAGCUCAUAAAGGGCUAGAACAUCAAACUAAAGUCUGACCCUCCCCAAUGGGAGCCAGACAGAGAUUGUCUCUGGGCUGGGGCAAAGCUGGGUGAAGAUGGGAGCAGGGGAUUUUCAGGGCUCACUAAGGGGUCACCUGAGCCAAGGAUAAGUGAAAAGGUCCCUGUAAGCACCCCUCAAGGGAAGUGCCAAAAGGCAGGGCCCUGGUUUUAUAAAUUAGUUUAACAUACUAUGUCUGUUGAUUGAAAAAUGUCUAGCUUCCUUCUCCCUGGAGGCAAACAUAGUACUAGCAAUUUUGUGAACGCCUUCCAGAAAUUUCUCUUGCCAUACAUAGGCAUACAUGUGUGUGUAUAAAACAUAUCUGUGUAUGUGUGCAUAUAUAAAACGUACAUAUAUGUGUAUAUAUAUAUAUAUAUAUAUAUAUAUAUAUAUAUACACACACACACAUAUAAUUGUUUUCCAUUCCCUUUUUAUCUGCCACAUAAUAUUCCACAACAUGAUUGGACUAUAAUGCCUUUAAUUUACCAUGAGGCCUUAAAGUUUGCUGUUUUUAGACACCAUGAACAAAGGAUAUGUUUCUGGAAGUGGUGAGUCAUAAUGGUGUGUAAGUUUAUAAUUUGACAGACUUGGCCAUCUUGUUCCCCAGAGAGGUUGUGCACUGCGUCCUUCCCAGUAUAGUGCCCAUUACCUAUGCCAUCUGGUUUCACUGGCUUUUCAGGUGGUUUAGAAUGGAGCUGCUGGUCUUGACCUGACUUCUGUCCUGGGGCUGCUAUGUGCUGACCAUCCAUAUCCUGGGAGGCUUGGGAGGAUCAAAUCCCAGUUCAGCCACUAGCUGAUGUGUGACUCAAGUCAUUAGCAUGUCUGAACCUCUGCAUUUUGUGUCUGUAAGAUGUAGAUAAUGUCUUAAAGUCGAGACCUAAAGUAUUGAAGUAUUUUCUUUCUGCUCAGUUUGUUUUCUUUUCUUUCUUUUUUUUUUUUUCUUUUUUCUUUUUGGUGCUAAGGAAUAAACCCAGGGGGUGCUUAACCACUGAGCAACAUCCCCAGCCCUUUUAUUUUUUAGUUUGAGACAAGGUCUCUCUAAAUUGCUUAGAGCCUCACUAAGUUAUCAAGGCUGGCCUUGAACUUGAGAUCCUCCUGCUUCAGCCUCCUGACUUGCUGGGACUGCAGGCUGUGCUACCUCACCCCACUUGAAAUUAUAUUUAUUUUUAAUUGACACAUUAAAGCAUAAAAUUUUGUUUUUAUUAAUAUCUGCCCCAAGUUGUUAAACCUGCGUAUGAUGUGACUGUAUUCUUUGUAGGGUUGUUGUGAGAAUUUGAGGCACUGAUACCCUCAUGGCUUCUGAUACAUAGUAACUCUGUGAACUUGCAAAGCCUUCUGAGCCUCAGUGUCUUCCGUGUGAACGUUGGUGGCACAGGGCUGCCAGAGGCUUGCAAAGUGCAUGAAAAUGCUCUGUAAACCCAAGGAGGGCCUGAGGGAGGGGGGUUAAGCUUUAUUAGAGCUCUGGCAGCCCUGCAAGGCGCUGCUUGCUCUAAGCUUGCUUUGUACCUCCCCCUGGCUUUUCAUUGUUGUGUUUGCUCAGAGUGAGGCCAUCUUCUCCCAGCUGUUGCCAGGGAGCAAACAGGAACCCUGAACACUUAGCCUGCUGGGUAAAUGGGCCCCGCCUCCAGUCUCCAGAGGAUUAGACUUCUUAGGAGAAGGACUUAGAGGGAGCCAAGAACUCACACCAGUAAUGCAGAGGGGAGGGGACUCUGAGAGUCAGAGAACUGCCUAUUUGUGGCAGAUUCUGGUCCACUCUGAACUCUUGUCUCUUCAUCUGUAACAUGAGGGCUUUGGACUGGGUGACCCUUUGAAAAGGGACUAGGCUUGGUGUCCAAAGACUUGUGUGUAAGGCCUACAUUAACUAUUAAUCCAGUGUGUAACUGGUGGAACUUGGUGUUCUCAUCUGUAAAAUGAGAAUACAAAUUGAAUUACGGAGCCAUUAUGAAUUAAUGGCUUGCUUUCUGGUGAGGAAGAAGGAGACAAGAGCCAGGUGCAGUGGCGCACGUCUGUAAUCUCAGUGGCUAUGGAGGCUGAGGCAGAAGGAUCAGGAGUUCAAAGCCAGCCUCAGCAACUCAGUGAGACCCUGUCUCUAAAUAAAAUGCAAAAUAGGGCUGGGGAUGUGGCCCAGCGGUUGAGUGUCCCUGAGUUCAAUCCCUGGUACUAAAAAAAAAUAAAAUAAAAAACUAAUGUGUUAGGUGGUCAUGAAGAGUAAAGAGAGUGAAGUCCCAUGAAAGAGAGUUACUGGGGCGGUCAGGCUUAAGCAGAGGCUUGAAGGUGAGCGAGCGAGCCCUGGGGCCAUCUGGAGAAUAGGGAGGAACUGGAUGGAGGUGAGGCCUGGGAAAAACAGAGGCUGGAUUGUGGUAGACCUCACCUUUGGUUUCGUGUGAGUGACCUUAAGUCCAUUGGAAGAGGAAUGGUCUAUCUAACUUGGCUUUUUUUUUUUUUUUGGGGGGGGGUACUAAGUUGUUGAGGGUCUUGCUACAUUGCUGAAGCUGUCCCCUAACUUGUGAUCCUCCUUCCUCAACCUCCCAAAUAGCUGGGAUUACAGGUGUGCGCCACCAUGCCUUGCUUAAUUUUUCUGUCAGCUGUCUAUUUCUGCAUAAGUAAUAACCCCUCCAUGUGGUGUCUUAAAACAACAACAAUCAAUAUCACAGUUUCUGUGGGAAACUCCUGGGUAACUUGGUUGGGCAGUUCUGGCUCCGGGUUGGGGGGGCGGGGCAGAGGGGUCUCUCAGAGGUUGUGAUCAAUCCUUGCCAAGUCUACAGCCAGCUGAAGGCCUGGCUGGGGCUGGAGGCCCCAUUUCCAAGGUAGGUCACCCCUAUGGCUAGCAAGUUGGGACUGGCCACUGUGGGAUAUCCUCAGCUCCCCUCCUUGGGGUCGCUCAAGGGUCCUUGCCACACCGUGGCUGACUUCCCCAGAAUGAGUGGUUCAAGCGGCCAAUACAGAAGCUGCAAUGUCUUUCACCCAGCUUUGGAGGUCAUGAACUAUCACUUCCUUCAUUUUUACAGGUCACUCAGGCUAGCCCUAUUGAAAGUGAGAAGGGACACAGGACAAAACUAUUAGCAGAAGGCCAGGAGCAUUAUGGACCCUCCUUGAAGCUCGCUACCACCAGGUUUCUGUUUGUUUAAAUAGCACUUAGUACAAUUUACCUUCUUCCUCCGUUACUUUUUUCAUGUGUAGUUCUAUGAAUUCUCACAUGUACAUCUCUAUAGCCACCACCACAAACAGGACACAGAACCGUCCAUCAGCCCUCAAAAAGCCCUUGCAUUUCCCUUUGUAGUGACACGUUCCUCCCAUCUCAACCUGGAGCAACCACAGAUCCUUCUCUAGUUUUGACUUUUAGAGAAUGUCACCCAAAUGAAAUCAUAUAGUGUUUUUUGGUACUAGGGAUUGAAUCCAGGUAUCUCCCCAGCUUUCUUUUUUUGAGACAGUCUCACUAAAUUGAUUAGGGCCUUACUAAAUUUCUGAGGCUGGCCUUGAACUUGUGAUCCUCCUGCCUCAUCCUAAGUUGCUGAAAUUACAGGUGUGUGCCAUCACACUCAGCAGUAUGUAACCUUUUGAAACUGACUCUUUCACUUACAAUAAUCCUUUGAGAUUCAUUUAAGUUACUGCAGGAAUUAAUAAAUCAUUCCUUUUCUUUUUUCCUGUUUUUUUUUUUUUUUGGCGGGGGGGGACCAUGAAUUGAACUCAGGGCACUCGACCACUGAGCCACAUCAUCAACCCUGUUUUGUAUUUUAUUUGGAGACAGGGUCUCCCUGAGUUGCUUAGCACCUGGCCAUUGCUGAGGCUGGCUUUGAACUUGUGAUCCUCCUGUCUCAACCUCCAGAGCUGCUUGGAUUAUAGGUGUGUGCCACCGCGCCUGGCUCAUUCCUUUUCGUUCUAAACUAUGUUCCACUGUAUAGAUCUACUGGUUUGGGGGAAUUAUGACGAGUGUGUGUCUUAGUCUAUUCAGGAUGCUGUAACAAAGUGCCGUAGACUGAUUGGUUUAUAAAUGACAGAAAUGUAUUUAUUAUAAUUCUAGAGGCUGUACCAACCAACUGAGUGUCUGGUGAAGGCUUAUUCUCAGAUUCAUAGAUGGCACCUUCUCAUUGUGUCCACACUGGUAGAAGGAAUGAGGUACCUCUCUGGAAUCUCAUUUUAUAAGAGCACUAAUCCAAUUCAUGCAGGAUCUGUCCUUGUGAUCUGAUCAUCUCUCCAAAGCCUCACUGCCUACUCCAACACUGUCAACCUGGGAGUUCCGACUUCACAUAUGAAUUUUGGGGGGACACAACUUUAGGAGAUAGAGACUAACGGGAAGUCUUCAAGUUAUUGGGGAGUGUGCUCUUGAAGAGAAUGGAAGAACAUUAGACCAUUUUCUGUUUUUUCAUUUCCUGGCCAAGAAGUGAACAUUUUGCUCUGCUUCAUGCUCCUGCUGUCGUGUACUGCCUUGCCACAGGCCCCAAAGCAAUGGACUCAGCCAGUUAUGGACUGGAACUCCAAAACUGUGAGUUCAAAUAAACCUGUUUUAUUUAUCAGCUGA